rnacentral:rRNA from 1 species
GGUGAACGCUGGCGGCGUGCUUAAGACUUGCAAGUCGAACGGCAGUCUUCGGACUGUAGUGGCGCACGGGUGAGUAACGCGUAACUGACCUACCCCAAAGUCGCGGAUACCGAUUCGAAAGAAUCGCUAAUACGUGAUGUGCUGUCAGAUUGUGUUCUGCCAGUACAGAUUGCUUGCUUUGGGAUGGGGUUGCGUUCCAUCAGCUAGUUGGUGGGGUAAAGGCCCACCAAGGCGGCGACGGAUAGCCGGCCUGAGAGGGUGGCCGGCCACAGGGGCACUGAGACACGGGUCCCAAGCCGACGGGAGGCAGCAGUUAGGAAUCUUCGACUAUGGGCGAAAGCCUGAUGGAGCGACGCCGCGUGAGGGAUGAAGGUCUUCGGAUCGUAAACCUCUGAAUCAGGGACGAAAGACACUUCGGUGGGAUGACGGUACCUGAGUAAUAGCACCGGCUAACUCCGUGCCAGCAGCCGCAGUAAAAC